rfam:Gossypium hirsutum cultivar TM-1 chromosome 11, whole genome shotgun sequence
AACUGGAUUACAGGGCAAAGUCUCCAUUGGCAGGCAGACAACCACUUUAAACGUGCAUUUAAAGCUCAUGCUUUGAUGUAGUGUGCUCUCUGCCAAAGGAGAUUUGCCCGGCAAUUCUUUU